rnacentral:rRNA from 1 species
GAUGAACGCUGGCGGCGUGCCUAAUACAUGCAAGUCGAGCGAACAGACGAGGAGCUUGCUCCUCUGACGUUAGCGGCGGACGGGUGAGUAACACGUGGGUAACCUACCUAUAAGACUGGGAUAACUUCGGGAAACCGGAGCUAAUACCGGAUAAUAUAUUGAACCGCAUGGUUCAAUAGUGAAAGACGGUUUUGCUGUCUCUUAUAGAUGGAUCCGCGCCGCAUUAGCUAGUUGGUAAGGUAACGGCUUACCAAGGCAACGAUGCGUAGCCGACCUGAGAGGGUGAUCGGCCACACUGGAACGGAGACACGGUCCAGACUACUACGGGAGGCAGCAGUAGGGAAUCUUCCGCAAUGGGCGAAAGCAUGACGGAGCAACGCCGCGUGAGUGAUGAAGGUCUUAGGAUCGUAAAACUCUGUUAUUAGGGAAGAACAAAUGUGUAAGUAACUAUGCACGUAUUGACGGUAACUAAUCAGAAAGCAACGGCUAACUACGUG